rnacentral:rRNA from 1 species
GACGAACGCUGGCGGCGUGGAUUAGGCAUGCAAGUCGAACGGUAUCAUCCUUUCGGGGGUGAGAGAGUGGCGAACUGGUGAGUAACACGUAGGUUAUCUACCCUCAAGACGGGGACAACCCAGGGAAACUUGGGCUAAUACCGGAUGUGAGCAACUUUUAGUUGUUUGAAAGGUGGCGUAAGCUGUCGCUUGGGGAUGAGCCUGCGUCCUAUUAGUUAGUUGGUGAGGUAACGGCUCACCUAGGCAAUGAUAGGUAGGCGGCCUUAACGGGUGGUCGCCCACACUGGGAUUGAGAUACGGCCCAGACUCCUACGGGAGGCAGCAGUCGAGAAUAGUCUACAAUGGUCGGAAGACUGAUAGUGCGACGCCGCGUGAACGAUGAAUCCCUUCGGGGUGUAAAGUUCUUUUAUAUGUGAGCAGUGCUUCUUAAUAUUAAACAGUAUGGGGAGAGAGAUAUUAGCAUAUGAAUAAGCAACGGCUAACUCCGUGCCAGCAGCCGACGGUAAACUCGU